rnacentral:rRNA from 1 species
UAGCAAUACAGUGGAAAGUUCAGUGGCGAACGGGUGCGUAACACGUGGGCAAUCUGCCUUGAAGUGUGGGGUAGCUCGGCGAAAGCCGAAUUAAUACCGCAUGUGGCUACUGGAGACAUCUUCGGGACGCUAAAGGUGGCGCAAGCUACCGCUUUUUGAGGAGCCCGCGGCCUAUCAGCUUGUUGGUGAGGUAACGGCUCACCAAGGCGUUGACGGGUAGCUGGUCUGAGAGGACGACCAGCCACACUGGGACUGAGACACGGCCCAGACACCUACGGGUGGCAGCAGUCGAGAAUUUUUGACAAUGGGGGAAACCCUGAUCGAGCGACGCCGCGUGGAGGAUGAAGGUCUUCGGGUUGUAAACUCCUGUCAUUUGGGAACAAGGCGCGGCUAUUAACUGUAGUCGCGUUGAUAGUACCAGAAGAGGAAGAGACGGCUAACUCUGUGCCAGCAGCCGCGGUAAUACAGAGGUCUCAAGCGUUGUUCGGAUUCAUUGGGCGUAAAGGGUGUGUAGGUGGCGCGCUAAGUCGGGUGUGAAAUUUCGGAGCUUAACUCCGAAACUGCAUUCGAUACUGGCGUGCUUGAGGACUGGAGAGGAGACUGGAAUUCACGGUGUAGCA